UUGUGUUCUUGUUGCUAUUGAAAUUAUUUUGUAGAAAAAAAAAAAUAAUUGGUAAAAAGUAUCACAUUCUUAAAUAAAUGCAUGACAUUAAUAUGUUUUUGACUAAACAAAAAAAGAAAAAUACUUACAUUGGAGAAAUCAAAGAUAGGUGAGUUAGUUGUAUCAUUCAGUACAAAAAGUUCUUGUUUUUAUUUUUUCUCUUAGCUUUUUACCCCUUUGAAUUGAUUUUUGGAUUACUAAAGGAUGCAUAGUAAUGACUACCAUUAAUAAUGUUUUGUCCAUAUAACUCUUCUUCUUGAUGAAAAUUUGAAGGUCCUCAAGAUGUAUAAGAAAUCAUAGACAAAUCUUCUUUUUCUUUCUCUUCUUUUUGUUGUUGGUUUUGCUUUAAACUCUGUUCACCUUUACAGUUGUUGUCUUCACAAAAUGUUAAGUAAGAAUUUUCUAAGUAUAAAGUCCAAUCAAACUCACAUCCACAAUUGCAUUUUUAAUCAGUUGCCACCAUUUCAUGAUUCAUUUGAUUUAUUUGUAUGUCUAAGAUAAAGAAUUUAAGAAAAUCAAAAAAGUUUAUUUAUGUGGGGGUAAAUGAUGAGCAAAGAACUAUUACACAAGUAUUGUUAGUGAGUAGUGACAUCCCUUGUUAUUGCUAAAUAGUUCAAGAAAUAUGUCAUACAUAGUAGUACCUGCUACACUUUUUAAUAGAAUAACCCUCUCAGCAUACCUCAAGUAUCAAUUGAUGUGCCUGUUAUUAGCCAUGUAUUUAGUAAGAUUACUCACCUUUUGUUUCUUAUUCUUAUAGUAUAUCUUUUUCUAUAUUUUAGAAUAUGUUUGUUUUUACAGCUCAUCUUAUUCACUCAUUUCUUUAGAUCAUUUAUAUUCCAUUAUAUCGAAAAUUAAUUUGGUACGAAGUAACGCUAAGUGGGAUGAUGAUGCUCAUAUUUCUUUUAUAAAGGUGUGUGUAAAAGAAAUUAAAAAAGAAAAUAGACCAAAUUCUCAUUUAAAUAAAGAUGGUUAACAAAAUAUGGUUGAGGAGUUCAAUAGGAAGGCGGGAACAAAUUAUAUUAGAAAACAAUUGAAAAAUAAGUGGAAUAACAUGAAAUAGGACUGGACUUUUUUUAAGCAGAUGAUGAGAGAGCAUACAGGUUCAGAUUGGGAUGCCACAAAAAAUACAAUCAUUGCAGAUGACGAUUGGUGGGAGAAAAAGAUUAAGUUAAAUGAAGAGUUUGGAUAUUAGCAUGUCUCCUGAUUUAAGUGACUUAUUAGAUGAAGAAGAUGCAAAACUAAAAAAAGUUCGCAGAGAGCAAGACAAGGAGUGGAUAACUUUGUUUCAACUAGCAGGAUUGCAUUGGAGCACUUGAAGGCACACAUGUUAAAGCUAGAUUGCCGCAAGGUCAAGAAAUACCGUAUAUUGAUCGUAAAAGUUAUACGAGUCAAAAUAUUCUUAUCGUUAUAGAUUUUAGUAUGUAUUUUACAUUUUUAUGGGCUGGGUGGGAAGGGUCGUCUCAUGAUAAUCGUAUAUUUCAUGAGGUUCUUCGUAGACAAGAAUUCAACUUUCCACAUCCAUUGAAAAAUAAAUAUUAUCUAGUUGAUUCUAGAUAUUCACACAUGAAGGGAUACAUGGCUUCUUAUAGAGGAGAUAAUGUGAGAUAUCAUCUUUCUGACUUUCGACAUGAUGCAACACGAUAAUUGCAGGAGCCAAGAGGAUGCAUUGAAAAAGUUAAUUAUUUACAUUCAUCUUGUAGAAACAUAGUGGAGCGCAUAUCUCAUGUUUGAAAAGUAAGGUGAUCUAUUUUACGAGACAUGUCUUACUAUAAUAUUGACAUCCAAAAGGAUAUCAUAAUUGCUACUAUUGUCAUUUAUAAUUACAUUAGAAAGAAGUGCAGUGUGAUUAAUGCAAACGGUUGAGAAUGAAAAAUAUAUUCCAUCGAUUGAUUUUGGUUUAGGCACAACUUCAAGGGCUAACAAUAUAGAUGACAAAAAUGUGAGUGAAGAAAGUAAUUUGUAUUCGGUGGGACUUCGUGAUAUGAUUGCUAAUGAUAAUUGUAAUGCUUAAUGCUUGUAUUAAUUGAAUAUUUCUACUUUUUGUAUUUAUGUCGAGCUUAAC